AUACGUAGGUGGCGAGCGUUGUCCGGAUUUACUGGGCGUAAAGGGAGCGUAGGCGGAUUUUUAAGUGAGAUGUGAAAUACUCGGGCUUAACCUGAGUGCUGCAUUUCAAACUGGAAGUCUAGAGUGCAGGAGAGGAGAAGGGAAUUCCUAGUGUAGCGGUGAAAUGCGUAGAGAUUAGGAAGAACACCAGUGGCGAAGGCGCUUCUCUGGACUGUAACUGACGCUGAGAUGCGAAAGCCAGGGUAGC
rnacentral:rRNA from 1 species